AACACAUGUCUUUUUGAUAAAAAUUCAAAGUCAGGUCUGCUCACUGAAUUAUUUAAAGAGCCGCAGUAUAUUGACUGUGCAAAGGUAGCAUAAUCAAUAGUUUUUUAAUUGGAAACUAGAAUGAAAGAUUAGACGAAAAAUUAAUUUUCUUUGUUUUAAUAAAUUUAAUUUUAAAUUUAAGUGAAAAUGCUUAAAUAUAAUUAAAAGACGAGAAGACCCUAUAGAUUUUUAUUAUUGAAAUGAAUUUUUAAAUUUAAUUUAAUAAAAUAAUUUAAUUGGGGCGAUUUUAUAAUAUAAAUAACUUAAUUUUUUUUAACCAUAAAUAAUUGAAUAUUUGAUCUAAAAUUUUUAAAGAAAAGAUUAAAUUACCUUAGGGAUAACAGCGUAAUUUUAUUUAAGAGUUCAUAUCUAUAAUAAAGUUUGCGACCUCGAUGUUGAAUUAAGAUAAUAUAUUGGAGUAGAAAUUAAUAUAAUUAGUCUGUUCGACUAUUAAAUUCUUACGUGAUCUG
rnacentral:rRNA from 1 species